GUGAAGUCCUUCACAUGACAAAAGGAAUUUUUCUCGCGACCGAAAGACAGCAUGUGACGAGAAGAAUUCGAGCAACGACCGACUGAUUCACCAGGCACAAACAAAAACGGCCCCAUCAUAGAAACUUCCAAUCCAACGUAGACGAUAAGAAGGUAUGCCGUUCUCAUCGCCUCAACCGUUAAACACUAUAAUUCUGAGGUUGAAUACAGGAUACUGUACGUUGAACGAUAUUGCGCAGUAAUCUCAGAUUACUGGAAGCUGAAUCAGAAGUCUGACCACCUCAUGAUCCCAGCCGAUAAAAUAGAAGAGGCGUUGCCCCGGAUGAUACCAAGAGAAAUGCGCUGGAACAGCCACUGUGACUCACGGAAUUCGCACUUGCGGACAGCCAUCUCCGCCCCAAGAGCGGUGAGCAGGGAUAUGGCCUCCAAAAAAUAUCACAAAACUGUUACUUAGAGUUUCGAACAGGAACGUGAAACUCUGAGUAACAGUUUUUGUGAUAUUUUUGGUGCUUUUUAAUAAAGUAUUUAUACAUGCAUAAAUACACAUACUCAUACAUAUUGUUAUAUUUCGGGAAGGUCAUUUUUUUCUUGCCGAAUAAACUCACGCAUUGAAUAUUCGUACUUCA